rnacentral:snRNA from 1 species
AGCUUUGUGCAGUGGCAGUAUCAUAGCCAGUGAGGUCUAUCUGAGGCACAAUUAUAGCUAAUUGAAAAAUUUUCCCAUAUAUCUCUUACCCAGUCUCCCCUAAUGUUAACAUCUCACAUAACACAAUGAUCAGAACCAGGAAAUUAAUGUCAGUUCAACGUCAUUAACGAA